GACGAACCGUGCGAACGUUAUUCGGAGUCACUGGGCUUAAAGGGAGCGUAGGCGGGCUAUCAAGUCUGGGGUGAAAUCCCGCGGCUCAACCGUGGAACUGCCUCAGAUACUGACGGCCUCGAGGGAGAUAGGGGCAUGCGGAACUGUAGGUGGAGCGGUGAAAUGCGUUGAUAUCUACAGGAACUCCGGUGGCGAAAGCGGCGUGCUGGAUCUCUUCUGACGCUGAGGCUCGAAAGCUAGGGGAGCAAACGGG
rnacentral:rRNA from 1 species